GCAAGAGGCUGCUUCCCUGGAUUCUGGUUCAAGUUCUCAGACGGUGGGCUCCCACGUCAGUGAUGUUCAAAACCGGAAGAGUGCCGGAAGUCAGAGCGGGAUCUGAAGUGCGACAGACCUGGGUUCAAAGCCCUGCUCCCGGCUGUGUGACCAUAGCAAGUGACUUGCUCUCUCUGGGCCCAAAUCCUCUUCCCUGGGGCCAUUUCCAAGCCUGCCAAACGCCUCUGUGUGAGUAGGGGUGAGGUGGCCUUCUCGGUGGACGUGGCCCUCCACAUGUUCUUGGGGGCCCAUCACAGCAUCUCUCUUGAGGGGUGGACUGGGACAGUGGGUGGAGAUGCCCGGACCAGCACCUGGCCACAGUGCACAGGUCAGCAGCUAGUGGAGAGAUUUCCCCCUCCUGUCUUGGUCCUGCCCCAGCCCCUGCCCCUGCCCCAAGACUUUUAAGGGCUUGUGCAGCCCCCUCAAAUGAACAGAUUCAAAACAAGAUAUUCCAAACUGAACUGAAUAACUCGCAGGACUGUGCAGAAUGAAAAAGGUGGACAUACCAGCCGUUGGCAAGGAUGCUGGGCCAACGGGCCCCCCAUGCUGCUGGUGAGGAUUUAGUGUCCAGCCACCCUGGAUGACAGUUUGGCAGAAUCAACUCAAGCGAACGACUUGCAACUCCUUGACCCAGCCGUGCUGUCCCCUGGGAAUAGAUCUGACCGAGGUGUGGGCCAAUGUUCACCAAAAGGCAGGGAGGAGAGGUCGUUCGUAGCAGCGGCUCCUCCUUCAACAGGAACUGUGAGCCACCAGAUGGAAGGAUGAGGAGGAUUUGCUGCAUCCACAUAAUGGAGUACGACACAGCGGUGGAAAGGAGCAGCUGACAGCCAGACACAAGGACAACAGGUGUCGGGCGUGUGGAACGGACGAGUCAGACAUUUAUGAACAGACCAGAGGAGCGGAAAUGCACACAGUGUUUUACGUCCGGCGCGUUCUGGUGAUGAGCUGGACGUAGGCAGCCAGACGGAGGCUUCGGGUGACGCUGCAGGGGAGCCCCCCGCAGCCCAUGGCAGGGACAGGAGCUCACAGCUGGGCGAAAGCUAGAAGACAUGCCGUCCCAGGAUCACUCUGGCUGCGGCAGGAAGCCAGGCCCUGAGGGCAUUCAAGGUCCCACGGCCCCACCGGCUACAGGAGUUUCCUUCCGCCGUCCUCUGGAAUAAAUGCCAGCUGUCAACUGCCCCCUCACUGCCCCGGCAGGUGCUCACCGCCCUCCCAACGAGGCAGGCAGUGCCAGAGAGCGGACUCGGUCUCCAGUCCAGCAGGCUGGACAUCACGGGGCUUCUCCAGAACCUCUCACCAUCGGUGGCUCUCAGCCGGGAGCAUCGGUGUUCCCAGGGGACGUUCGCCAAUGUCAGGUGACAUAAGCGGCUGUCACAACUCAGGGGAUGCUAUUGGCAUUGAGAGGAUGGGGGCCAGGGAUGCCGCUGAGCAUCCUACAGGGGCCAGGAUGCCCCGCAGAGAGAAUGACCCGCCCCAAUGGUGGUGGUGCCGAGGCUGAGACGUCACCCGUCUGCCGGCCUCGUGUCUGUCCCUCGGGGUCUGUGGGGCACUACACGUGGUGAUUCUGUACACUCUGCACACCCUUGUUGCACCCCCUUCCUGAUGCCCCCCUCAACUGGUCCUGAUUUGAGUGCCUUCUGUUCCCCUCGGGACCCCACACUGAUCCCCACCCAACUCGUCCCAUGCUCAGCCCCCUUCCCUCGGUUGUCUAUUCGCCCUGCUGCUCUCUUGGCUCGUGGGGUAUGGGUCUAAGAGCAUGGGGCCCUCGUCUCCCCAUUGCUCAUGGGGUAUCCUCGGUGCCCAGAACACUGGUCACGGCGUGUCGGUGCUCCAAAUGUACUUGCUGAACAGCCAAUGUGGCAAGGACCCAACUGGACCCCAGGCCUGACACCAAAGUCUUUUUUCCUCACCUGGCACAGGACAGCCGGGGUGGUGGUGGUGGUGGUGAUGCUCGCUUAGGAGGCAGGAAGAAUUUCAGGACAGUGACAAAGACACAUUGAACCCGACAAGGGGCCAUUCGGAGCACAGAGCCCUGCGUAGCUGCCUGGGGCACGUGGCCCGCGAGGCUGGCCCUGGCGGCAGGAGAGUUUGUACCGUCUCACAGUGCCCGCUGUGGUGACGAGGUCUGUGGCCACACCUCAGUACUCACAGCACGGCAGGCAGGGCCAGCUCUGGGCCUUGCACCCCGUGGAGUCGGGGGGCCGGAGCCCCUGCUCCCCGGGCCACCCCCUGAGCCUGCUCGCCGGCGGAGCAGGCACCGCUCUCCAAGGCCAGGUGCACUUUGCCUCCGUCCAAACAGCUGUCGCAGCUCCAAAGGCUUUGGAGAGUUCUGUGUUUUUCCUCUUCUAUUUUUAUUUUCUCAAAUCUAAGACCAAGAGGGGCCAGUGCCAGAGUUCUGAGGCCGUCUGAGCCAGUGUGAAGUGAUCCACAGGCGCAGGGAAACGCGUCUGGAAGAAGUCACUAACAAGGAACCUCCGGCUGGCUUUGAAGAACGAAGUGGCCACAUUGUGAAAGGUCCACAUGUAAAGGAGCUGAGAGUGGCCUCUAGGAGCUGAGAGUGACCUCAGCUGACAGCCAGCAAGGAAAGGUCGCGAGGGAUUGAAUUUAGCCAACAACCCGAAUGAACUUGAAGAAGACUCAGGCUCCUGGUGGGCACCAUACCAUCUCGCAGCUGAGAAAACCGAGGUCACAGAGAUGGCAGAGAGUUGCCCACAGCGAGGGACCCACGGCUAAGUAACCGAUCGCAGGCCCCUCUGCCCAACACACGCUGUCUCUGGACUCUGUGGCGUGAGAAUUCUCCUUCAUUCCAAACAGAUGCAGGCUUCAUCGAGCAGAUGCCUUGCCUGGUCCUCAUCUCCGGUGCCUGCAGCGGUGCUGGCAUCCAGCAGAUACCAGGAAUUAGUGCAUGAGCAGGUGAGGCCCUCCCGACCUAGCUUGUACCUUCCCGCUCUUCAUAGACACACGGGACAAAUACAUAGCGGGCUGCGAUGAUUGUAACAGCAACGGACAUUCACCCCUUCGUGAGAGGCAGCUGGGAGUAGUGGGGAGUGUGGCAACAACCACUCUUCGGCCCUAACCGAGAGUUCCAUGCAGGAAGGGGGCCCAGGGUAGCCAGAUCUGCCCAUUUCUCAAGAGAAGCCAGGAUGGGGCUUUUUUUCAUCCCCUACUUCUAGUUCUCAAAAACACGUUGGCCAUGAAUUCACUCUUUGAAGACAUAUAAACACCAUGCGGGGGUGGGGGCUGGAGUGGAUAAGACACGUCUGCAGGCCGCAUCUGGGCCCCCCUCUUCCGCCCCCGGUUUGUGGCUCUGGUCUUUGGCCUGGAAACAGAACAAAAGCUAAUUUGCGCAUCAGGACAGUGACAAGAGGGUUUGGAAAUCACAGGCGCUGGAACUGGUUAGGAGCAGCUGCUUCACUGGGGGCAACGGGGAAGAGCGAACAGUCUGGCCCUGGAACAGCUGCGGUUCUAACAUCCAUCAGGUGACCUCAGGGUGCGCUUCAAAGCGAGCAGGAACCUGAGCUGUCGCUGCGAGCUGCACCACCGAAUGCUGCUCUGUGCACAGUUAGGUGGUGGGCCCCUCCCUGCCUCCUCCAGAGCCCCAGGGCCCCUCCACAGCCUGAGCCGGGAGCCAACAGCAGCCCCCAAACCACUGAAAUAAUUCGCACUGGACAAUGUUGGCUUUGGGGCCUGGGCUGCUUUAGUUUUGGGUGUACACUUCCCCCACCCCGCCUUUCUUUUUUUCUUUCUUUCUUGUGCCUCUAUUUUAUUGGGAUGACUAAAUCUUUAAACUAUGUUAGCAGUAAACACAGCUAAUUUACCCCCUGCCUCUUUGAAACAGCUGUUGACAGCUGCACUGUAAUUCAAUCAAGGAUCUUUGUAGCAGAGCCUACCAAAUUCCCAUUUGUUGUUGGGUUCCAUCUCUCCUGCCUGGAGCCCCACACAGCUGCACCAAAUAUUGAUGAGCGCCCCUUUCUCCCCAGGGCCUGUAUGAUAAACAGCGUGUUAAUGGUGGGGGCCCAAGCAGAGAGUUCUUAGCAAACCAAGAGAACUCUAAUGUCCAGGAGUUGAGAGAAAAAACGACACACACAGACAUACACAGCCCCAAGAAUCAGAAC